CGGCAUGCCUUACACAUGCAAGUCGAACGGCAGCACGGACUUCGGUCGUGGUGGCGAGUGGCGAACGGGUGAGUAAUGCAUCGGAACGUGCCAUUGAGUGGGGAUAACGUAGCGAAAGUUGCGCUAAUACCGCAUAUUCUGUGAGCAGGAAAGCAGGGGACCGCAAGGCCUUGCGCUCUUGAGCGGCCGAUGUCAGAUUAGCUAGUUGGUGAGGUAAAGGCUUACCAAGGCGACGAUCUGUAGCGGGUCUGAGAGGAUGAUCCGCCACACUGGAACUGAGACACGGUCCAGACUCCUACGGGAGGCAGCGGUGGGGAAUUUUGGACAAUGGGGGCAACCCUGAUCCAGCCAUGCCGCGUGAGUGAAGAAGGCCUUCGGGUUGUAAAGCUCUUUCGGCCGGGAAGAAAUCGCAUGGGCCAAUACCCUGUGUGGAUGACGGUACCGGAAUAAGAAGCACCGGCUAACUACGUG
rnacentral:rRNA from 1 species